rnacentral:tRNA from 1 species
GCCGGGGUGGCGGAAUUGGCAGACGCGCUAGGUUCAGGGCCUAGUGGGAGCAAUCCCGUGUGGGUUCAAAUCCCACUCCCGGCAC